rnacentral:lncRNA from 1 species
UGAAUGGUAAUGAUGCUGACCUGCAUUAAUGUCCACGCGGAGGCUCUUCCUCUUGCAGGCCGAAGAUGCACUGUUAAAAAUACAUUUGUAUUUCCCACAGAACAAAGUGGGCUUUGUACAUUUGCUGGUGCCAUUUGUGGUGAAGAACUUUCUCGGAUUGCUUUGGAAUGAUGCAGAAUGUGUCUCUCAUCCAAGAACUCAAAUGAUACGUUCAGGUACUCGAAAUUCCAAAGGGUUCAAAUGGAAUCAUAAAUCAGCUGAAGAGUGACUCCUGGACCCUGAAAAUUGUGAAGCCAUCCUGUCAUACUUCAAAUUCAAGCUUUGCCACCCAGCAGGUGUCUGAUCUGGGUAAGUUUACUUCUCUGCUACUUUGUCUGUAAGAUGGAGAUAAUAGCCCUCAGAGGUUAAACGAGUUAUCACAUGAAAAAUAUUGCUUAGGAUAAUGUCUGG